CCCUUAGAUGUUCUGGGCCGCACGCGCGCUACACUGACGAAUGCAACGAGCUUAUAACCUUGGCCGAAAGGUCUGGGUAAUCUCCAAAUUUCGUCGUGAUGGGGAUAGAUUAUUGCAAUUAUUAAUCUUCAACGAGGAAUGCCUAGUAAGCGCAAGUCAUCAGCUUGCGUUGAUUACGUCCCUGCCCUUUGUACACACCGCCCGUCGCUCCUACCGAUGAGCAAUCCGGUGAAUAAUUCGGACCGAUAGAUUACCUGGUUCGCCAGGUUUUUUGUUGGAAAGUCUAGUGAACCUUAUUGCUUAGAGGAAGGAGAAGUCGUAACA
rnacentral:rRNA from 1 species